rnacentral:rRNA from 1 species
AACGAACGCUGGCGGCAGGCUUAACACAUGCAAGUCGAACGGCUGUAGCAAUACAGCAGUGGCAGACGGGUGAGUAACACGUGGGAACCUUCCUAGGGGUACGGAACAACUCAGGGAAACUUGGGCUAAUACCGUAUACGUCCGAAAGGAGAAGGAUUUAUCGCCCUUAGACGGGCCCGCGUCGGAUUAGCUAGUUGGUGGGGUAACGGCCUACCAAGGCGACGAUCCGUAGCUGAUCUGAGAGGAUGAUCAGCCACACUGGGACUGAGACACGGCCCAGACUCCUACGGGAGGCAGCAGUGGGGAAUCUUGGACAAUGGGCGCAAGCCUGAUCCAGCCAUGCCGCGUGAGUGAAGAAGGCCUUAGGGUUGUAAAGCUCUUUUGGCAGGGACGAUAAUGACGGUACCUGCAGAAUAAGCCCCGGCAAACUUCGUGCCAGCCGCCGCCGUAAAAC